GACGAAUGCUGGCGGCGUGCUUAACACAUGCAAGUCGAACGGAAAGGCCCUGCUUGCAGGGUACUCGAGUGGCGAACGGGUGAGUAACACGUGGGUGAUCUGCCCUGCACUUCGGGAUAAGCCUGGGAAACUGGGUCUAAUACCGGAUAGGAGCCAUUUUUAGUGUGAUGGUUGGAAAGUUUUUUCGGUGUAGGAUGAGCUCGCGGCCUAUCAGCUUGUUGGUGGGGUAAUGGCCUACCAAGGCGGCGACGGGUAGCCGGCCUGAGAGGGUGGACGGCCACAUUGGGACUGAGAUACGGCCCAGACUCCUACGGGAGGCAGCAGUGGGGAAUAUUGCACAAUGGGCGCAAGCCUGAUGCAGCGACGCCGCGUGGGGGAUGACGGCCUUCGGGUUGUAAACUCCUUUCGCUAGGGAUGAAGCUUUUGUGACGGUACCUAGAUAAGAAGCACCGGCUAACUACGUG
rnacentral:rRNA from 1 species